rnacentral:antisense_RNA from 1 species
CUUGAGCGCGCCCAGCCACAGCGGCCGCUCCGGGUCGCGGUCGUGUCCGUAGGUGGCCAGGAGCGCCCUCGCCUC